GACUGCGGUAAAAAAAUCUCCCUCCACGUCUCCCGAGAGUCCCGAAGCAUCCGGCAGGACCAGGACCCUCGAUCAUGCUCCUGGUGGACGGCGAAGGUCGUAUUCAGCGCCGGCGCCAGCGAUGCCCAGGGCCGGAAGGAAGACCGUCCCUCUCACCUUCCCCAGAUUAGCGUCACGGCCACCACCACCUCCAAUCCGGUCAUCGCCGCCUCCCAGGAAGCUGCUCCCCACCAUCUCGCGCCCCAACCCCCCUCCGCCGCCGCCUCCCGGUCCACCGCGUCACGACAGGGAGGAGCAUAUGGACAUCGCCGCCGCCGUCGCCUGCAGGCGGCAAGCAUGCAACGGCACCGCCGAGGUGAGGUGCGGAGUGACCGUGGCAGCGGCACCACGCUAACGGAGGCUCGACGCGGAUGGAUAGACGCGGGGCGUUGCCGAGCUCUGAUUUGCCUCGGAGCACGCACCCACCUCCCCUUCUCCCCACAUUCAUAGUGAUGGCGGUGGCGCUGGAGGCUAACCUGUCGCCUCUGCCGCGGCGCUGGGGUCACAGAUGCUCAAGGAGAGCUCAGAGCACCCGCUGUUGACUGGCAUGCUCGGAAUGUUCGAUGUCGUUGAUAGCGAGCGGAACAGCGGCGCGUUCCUCCCGUUCGCCAAGGCCGCCGUGGAAGGAGCCGCGCUGCUAGAGCUCGCCCUCAUGCUCACUGAGGAAGACAAGGCCGAGGCUGAUGGGAAUCUGUAUUUUCAUGCCGCCGAAACCAACGGUGUCCCGGCCGCGCGGAGAAACGUCAGAGCUGGGGUGAAGCCGGCGUAGAACGCGCCAGACAGGAGAAAAAGUCUCAUUCGCUUCUAAAAUGAUUCUAUCAGAGGGUCUGCAAAGAACCAACGCUAUAGUUCCAGAUCAAGGAGCAAUGUGGCUCCACUAUUUGUUGCAACAAAACAGAAGCCGAAUCAUGUCACAUCCUAGAAUAUUAACAGAGUUAACUCUACCACAGGAGUUCUUAUGCAGCACUUGCUCUGUGAAAGCAACAAGAGGCUCCAAAAAAUUUCUGGCUCAAUUUGUCGAUGACCAAUAAAAUGUUUAAGCAUAGUGACUUUGUAACUAUAUGCCACGUAGGGGG